rnacentral:rRNA from 1 species
CCUACGGGCGGCAGCAGUGGGGAAUAUUGCACAAUGGGGGGAACCUUGAUGCAGCAACGCCGCGUGGGUGAAGAAGUACUCCGGUAUGUAAAGCUCUGUCAGUAGGGAAGAAAAUGACGGUACGUGACCAAGAAGCCCCGUCUAACGACGUGCCAGCAGCGGCGGUAAUACGGAGGGGGCAAGCGUUAUCCGGAUUUACUGGGUGUAAAGGGGGCGUAGACGGCAAGGCAAGUCAGGAGUGAAAGCCGGUGGCCCAACCACGGGACUGCAGUGGAAACUGUGUUGCUGGAGUGCAGGAGGGGUAAGCGGAAUUCGUAGUGUAGCGGUGAAAUGCGUAGAUAUUAGGAGGAACACCGGUGGCGAAGGCAGCUUACUGGACUGUAACUGACGUUGAGGCUCGAAGGCGUGGGGAGCAAACAGGAUUAGAUACCCUGGUAGUC